GGGGAUUUAGCUCAGUGGUAGAGUGCUUGCCUAGGAAGCGCAAGGCCCUGGGUUCAAUCCCCAGCUCCG
rfam:Rattus norvegicus chromosome 5, whole genome shotgun sequence.